GGAUGCAAUAGUCUUGUUCUUUACUCGGAUAAUAUGGAAGUGAUUGACACAACAAAGAAUGGAGGACACUCGGCGGGAGUGGCGGCUUCAGUUUUCGAUGAUUGUUAUUCUUUGGCUUGUGAUUUUCCUCUUAUUAGAUUUGAACAUUGUAAUAAAGAAGCAAAUGAGGUGGCUCAUGAAAUUUCUAGGCUAGCAAAAUUUUCUGUAAGUAGGCAUCGAUUUGAGGAGCCUAUGAAUGAUAUUGUAUCUUUUCUUACUGGCGAUGUAACAAUUAUUUCUAAUUAA
rnacentral:rRNA from 1 species